UACGAAGGGAGCUAGCGUUGUUCGGAAUCACUGGGCGUAAAGCGCACGUAGGCGGACUUGUCAGUCAGGGGUGAAAUCCCGGAGCUCAACUUCGGAACUGCCUCUGAUACAGCAAGUCUUGAGUCCGGAAGAGGUGGGUGGAAUUCCUAGUGUAGAGGUGAAAUUCGUAGAUAUUAGGAAGAACACCAGUGGCAAAGGCGGCUCACUGGUCCGGUACUGACGCUGAGGUGCGAAAGCGUGGGGAGCAAACAGG
rnacentral:rRNA from 1 species